rnacentral:rRNA from 1 species
GACAGAGGAGCCAAGCGUUGUCCGGACUGACUGGGCGUAAAGCGCACGCAGGCGGCGCUGCGCGUGGGGUGUGAAAGCUCUUGGCUUAACUGAGAGAGGCCAUCCCAUACGGCAGUGCUCGAGCGGUGCAGAGGUCCGCGGAAUUGCCGGUGUAGUGGUGAAAUGCGUAGAGAUCGGCAGGAACACCCAGGGGGAAACCAGCGGACUGGGCAUCAGCUGACGCUCAGGUGCGACAGCGUGGGGAGCGAACUGG